UACGUAGGGGGCAAGCGUUGUCCGGAUUUAUUGGGCGUAAAGAGCGUGUAGGCGGCCAGACAGGUCCGUUGUGAAAACUCGAGGCUCAACCUCGAGACGCCGAUGGAAACCGUCUGGCUAGAGUCCGGAAGAGGAGAGUGGAAUUCCUGGUGUAGCGGUGGAAUGCGUAGAGAUCCGGAAGAACACCGGAGGCGAAGGCGGCUUGCUGGGCUUUGUCUGACGCUGAGGCGCGAAAGCGUGGGGAGCGAACAGG
rnacentral:rRNA from 1 species